rnacentral:snoRNA from 1 species
ACCUGCAUUCGAAAGUGAUCGCGGCCUCGCCCGUGGCCCGGUCAUCGAUAGUGCAGGGAGAGGAACGCCGAGAGCUUUCCCGUGUUUGGGGGGGACCGUCCCCUCCCUCCCAAACCCUGUCGCUGUCGGACA